rnacentral:rRNA from 1 species
GAUGAACGCUAGCGAUAGGCUUAACACAUGCAAGUCGAGGGGCAACAGUCUGUUAGCUUGCUAACAGAGCUGGCGACCGGCGCACGGGUGCGUAACGCGUAUGCAACUUGCCUGUCAGAGGGGGAUAACCCGCCGAAAGGCGGACUAAUACCGCGUACACUCUAAUUGUUGCAUGACAUUUAGAGGAAAGAUUAAUUGCUGACAGAUAGGCAUGCGUCCCAUUAGCUAGUUGGUGAGGUAACGGCUCACCAAGGCGACGAUGGGUAGGGGAACUGAGAGGUUUAACCCCCACACUGGUACUGAGACACGGACCAGACUCCUACGGGAGGCAGCAGUGAGGAAUAUUGGUCAAUGGGCGAGAGCCUGAACCAGCCAAGUCGCGUGAAGGAAGACUGUCUUAUGGAUUGUAAACUUCUUUUAUAAGAGAAUAAAGGGGCUCACGAGUUGGGCUAUUGAAUGUAUCUUAUGAAUAAGCAUCGGCUAACUCCGUGCCAGCAGCCGCGGUAAUACGGAGGAUGCGAGCGUUAUCCGGAUUUAUUGGGUUUAAAGGGUGCGUAGGUGGCAGAUUAAGUCAGCGGUGAAAAGCUGUAGCUCAACUAUAGUCUUGCCGUUGAAACUGGUCAGCUUGAGUGUAAUUGAGGUAUGCGGAAUGCGUGGUGUAGCGGUGAAAUGCAUAGAUAUCACGCAGAACUCCGAUUGCGAAGGCAGCAUACCAAGUUAUAACUGACACUGAAGCACGAAAGCGUGGGUAUCAAACAGGAUUAGAUACCCUGGUAGUCC